rnacentral:rRNA from 1 species
UACGUAGGGUGCGAGCGUUGUCCGGAAUUAUUGGGCGUAAAGAGCUCGUUAGGCGGUUUGUCGCGUCUGCUGAUGAAAACCUAAGGCUCAACCUUGGGCUUGCAGUGGGUACGGGCAGACUAGAGUGCGGUAGGGGUGACUGGAAUUCCUGGUGUAGCGGUGGAAUGCGCAGAUAUCGGGAAGAACACCCGUGGCGAAGGCGGCUUCCUGGCCUGCUCUUGACGCUGAGGCGCGAAAGCUAGGGUAGCAAACGGG